GAUGAACGCUGGCGGCGUGCCUAAUACAUGCAAGUCGAGCGGUAAGGCCUCUUCGGAGGUACACGAGCGGCGGACGGCUGAGUAACACGUAGGAACGUACCCCGAAGUGAGGGAUAAUUGCUCGAAAGAGUAGCUAAUACCGCAUGUGAUCUAAGGAUUAAAGCUUCGGCGCUUUGGGAACGGCCUGCGCAUGAUUAGCUAGUUGGUGAGGUAAUGGCUUACCAAGGCGACGAUCAUUAGCUGGUCUGAGAGGAUGAUCAGCCAGACUGGGACUGAGACACGGCCCAGACUCCUACGGGAGGCAGCAGUAGGGAAUUGUCCACAAUGGGCGAAAGCCUGAUGGAGCAACGCCGCGUGCAGGAUGAAUGCCUUCGGGUUGUAAACUGCUUUUAUAUGUGACGAUUAUGACGGUAGCAUAUGAAUAAGGAUCGGCUAACUCCGUGCCAGCAGCCGCCGUAA
rnacentral:rRNA from 1 species